rnacentral:rRNA from 1 species
CGUGUAGCCGGGCCGACAAGUCAGAUGUGAAAUCCGCGGGCUUAACCCGCGAACUGCAUUUGAAACUGUUGGUCUUGAGUAUCGGAGAGGUAAUCGGAAUUCCUAGUGUAGCGGUGAAAUGCGUAGAUAUUCGCAAGAACACCAGUGGCGAAGGCGGCUCACUGGGCCAUUACUGACGCUGAGGCACGAAAGCGUGGGAGCAAACA